rnacentral:rRNA from 1 species
AUGCACAGCACAUGGUGGCGCGGUGGAGCUCGCGAUCAUGCAGCACCUCGUUGGCGUUAUCAUCAUCUUCAUCAAGCUAACCAAGACGACGAGGCUACUCCCGGACUUCACCAAGGCAUGAAAGAUGAUGGCGUGUCGAUGGGGCUGCCGGCGCGCAGCCCGUUGGCCUCCUUUGUGGUGGCCACCCUUGGUGAUGAGGCCGACGACGUCUACUUCGUCAAGCUGAAGCCCCGGAGGCGCGGAGCUCGCAAGGAUUCCGCCGUGUGCCGCGGAGGAUGCUGCCGCCGUGCCGCAGUGGAUCGCGGCGCGGAGUUCGCCAAGACGACGCCAGUGUCAACUUCAUCAAGCCGGCGCCAUGGAGGACGAUGGCGUGGAGGCUCGGAGGAUACCGCCGCCGUGCCGCGGUGGAUGGCGUCACGGAGUUCGCCAAGACGACACCAGUGUCAACUUCAUCAAGCCGGCGCCAUGGAGGACGAAGGCGUGGAGGCUCGAGAGGAUGCCGCCGCCGUGCCGCGGUGGAUGGCGCCACGGAGUUCGCCAAGAUGA